UUUUGGAAAAUUUACAAAAUGAAUGAAAUGAUUUCGGAAAAAGUGAAAUUUUUUGCUUUUAGUUUGAUUCCUUCCCAUCUUUUGCUCCAACAAACUCACGUGACAGAGGCAUAAAACAAUUCACACGCCUGAGAGUUGGAUAGAAUUCACUCGGCAUUUCACGUCUUUGGGACCACGCGGUUUUGGCUGGGAAUUUUGUUUCUUCCUCUCCAAGCACUCAAUUUAAGUAUCAUACACAGAACACAAUAGAACAGUGGAGAAACGAGGGGGAGAGGAACGUGAGAAAACAGAGGGAGAAUGAACAGAGUAGGGCACGAAACAGAAUAGAACAGUGGAGAAACGAGAGGGGACAAUCGGAAAAACAGAGUGAGAACGGACAGAAGGGGUUUUGGACAAAAUCGAGGAUUUCUCUUCUGAUUUUCGGUUUUAAUUUUCUUGUAUAAAAUUUAUCAAAAGAAAAUUCUGUUUCUUCUCACUACAAAAAUGGUUUAAGAUUUGGAUUUCUAUGGUGUUGCGGAGACGGAGUUGAUUUCGACUGUCCGUUUCCGAGUUCGAGGUCGUGGAUAAAGGUUUUAGUCGCCUGGUUCAUUUUCUCACUCAAAUUCCGGUCGGAGUUCGGUGAGGUUUCCGGUGAGGCCUCACAGUGGAGAUCUUGUCCGCGGUUCUGACGCUUGUGGUUCAAAGCUGCCGCACAAUUAAACUUCAGAUUCGUUUGAGGUCGAUUUCUCAUUUCCUUCUCUAUUUCUUAUUUGCUUAACAACAUCAUGCUCUUAUUAUUUCGUUAAUCUAUCAUUGCUCUGUUUUUGAAUGUCUUAGUAAUAUUUGCUUUUUGUUGAUGAUUAUUGUUUGUACGUUAUUUUUUUUAAAUAUGUUUUGGAUGGGUUUUUGAUGGUUAAAGUGAGGUUUUGAUUCCAUGUUUCACUCUUCAUUAAGAGAUGAUAGUUUAAUGCUUCAACAACAACAACAACCCUACCCUGGGGCAGAGAAGCUGAUUCCAAUAGACCCUCAGCGUCCUUUUCUCCAAGAACUCCCCACCUUGCUCUUGGGGUGAUUCGAACUCACAACCCUCUUGGUUAAAAGUGGAGGGUGCUUACCAUCAGAGCAACCCACCUUGUCUACGUUUAAGGCUUCACAGUUACUAUUUUGAUGACAAAGAAUUAAUUUAACAUAAUUAAGUAAAUCGAUUGGAAUUCUCGCUGCUUUUGAAUACGCGGGUUUGUACAUUAGGAUGAAAAGUUGAAUUCAUCCUGUUAAUUAUUUCACUUUACUUGUUUGGGCCGUUAGGAGCAUGUUUAGGCCCUUAGGAGCAUGGGUAGGUAAAUUUUAGGCCUUUUCUUUAUUAUAUUCGAGGUGAGAGGUUGUCCCUUAGUUAUUAUUUUAUCCGGAGAAUAUCCCGUAGUACAUGUAUUUGGAGGAUGUGGCGAGCGUCGUGGAGGAGCGUAGGUUAGUUUAGGAUUUUUCUUUCCUUUUUUUUAUUAGGCGGGGACAACCUUAAACCUCUUUGUGUUUAUUUUCUUUUGUGUGAUUACCUUAAUUAGAGUACUCUUUAAAGUCAAUUUGAUCAUGUACGCAGCCGUACUAGUUACAUGACUUGGGAAUGCCUAACAACUUCUUCCCGAGUCAAAAGAACCCCUUAAUUGGAAUCUACGGUGCAAACUAGUUUUGGAAUCUAAAUGUGUUUUAGGAGGAAAAUUCAUUUUUUUAAAAUAGUAACUUGGCACGCCAAAACCAAAUGUGCCGACUCUGAAAAAUUCUUUGAAACUCAUUCUUUUGUCACUUUCUGUUUGAAAACCCUUUUGAACUUAAAAAUCACUUUAUAUCUUUUAAAGAGGUAGUAAGGUAAAAAAAGGGUGUGAAUUUUAGAGGACCAAAUCAACGGUGGUCGGGUAGUGGUGCACCCAUCCUCCUAAAUCCUGGAUCCGCCUAUGCUCAAGCUAUUGAUGUUUUAGUUAACCGUCGAUGGACAUGGUCUGACAGGCACGUCCAAGUUCAUUAAUUUACCAAUUUACUCGUAAAUUGUGUUGGAGAAGAAAGUGAAUAUAUUUUUAACCUAUGACAGACUCUUUUCUAUUGAGAUAAAUUAAAAGGGAAUAAAUUCAUCUUCUUCCACUUCAAAAGAAGUUAAUCUUUUAAUGAGUUAAUGAAUAAAGAGUGGAGUUCGGGCACACGAAAAUUGGGCUGAUAGAGUUUUGCAAAGCAAAAUUAAAAUAAUCCAUGAAAAAACACAAUUUUUGACGUUACAGGAGCUAUAUCGCAGCUGGACGCACAGGACAACACAUCAGUCAUAAAAAUAAUUGGGCAACAGAGGUGCCUUAUGUUGAGAUGCUUUUUUUUUAUUUUAUUUUUGCGCAAGCAUAGGUUUAGAAUCUUAUUUUUUGAUAAUAGAUGCAGUCAGGGGCGGAUCUAUGUAUGGAAUUGGGGGUGGUACACCACCUGGUCGCACGCAUAAAGUUUUAUAUAAGGAACAAGUGGCACCCCAAGUCACAAAAUGACUGAAGGUGCCAUAGUUGAAGUGCUAAAAUUCCAUGCACAACACUAGGGAUCGAGGCUCUACAUAUGCGUAGCCUUUCUUUUCUUUUUGUUAAUUUCUCUUAUUUUCUUCAUCUUAAAUAUUCACUUAUCUUAUACAAUUCCAAUUUUAUUAUUUAUUUAUAUUGUAUAUUUACUUUCUUUGUCUUUUUCUGAAUGUUCGUAUUUUAUUUGGAUGGAUGUAAUCUAAUGAUUUUCUUUUUUUAUCCAUAUAAUAUUAUUUUAUUAAUUACAAUUUUUUUUAUAGUGAUGCAUCAAAGACAUAAUAUAAUAUUAAUUAGCUACAUGCAGAUGGAAGGGGUGUAUCACAUAUUCGUUUAUGCAUAAAACACAUUUUAAAUUGGAUUGACCAACUUCAAAAUGGAUCGAACCGAACCGAAGUAAUCCAAAACGGAUCGAAUCGACUUAAUGUACACCCUAGUUCAAUCUUCUUUACUAGUGGUCGUUAAUAGUGGCACCCGUAGCCAUUAAAUCCUGGAUCCGCCUCCGGAUGCAGUCCAUAAUAAUUUUCAUACACACUUAAUAGUAAUGAGAAGACUGUUUAGGGGCCGAAGUAUUUGGGACCUCUUAA
rnacentral:lncRNA from 1 species